rnacentral:rRNA from 1 species
AUGAUAGGGCCGAAGAGAGGCGGGGGCAUUGGAUUUAGAGAUAUGCACCAUUUUAAUCAAGCAUUGUUGCCCAGGCAAGGUUGGAUAUUGAUUCGGAGGCCGGAGAGCCUGUGUGCAAGAGUACUAAAAUCCAAGUACUACCCUAAUGGUGAGCUACUGGACACAGUUUUUGCCACUGAUGCUUCACAACCAUGGAAAGGGAUUGAGUUUGGACUUGAACUUCUCAAGAAGGGUCUCAUUUGGCGAGUGGGGAACGGGAAGAGCAUACAAGUACAGAGGGACCAAUGGAUCCCGAGGAGCGAAGGCUUGAAAGCAGCUAGCUUCACAUGUAGAUCAAGGAUAAGAUGGGUAAACCACUCAUAG